UGAAAAUGUAUGAAAUCAAAUUACAUACAUGCCUGUUAACUAAAAACGGCUAUUAAUAUGAUGUAAUUUAUUUAUCGAAAUACAAAUAUUGUAUGUUUGUGCCUGGAUUAUUAUGAAAACAGUUACAAUAGCUGUUUUUCUUGGCGAGAUUGUCGGCUUUUGGACCCAUCGGAUCAACCAAUGAGAAGACGAUCGACGUCAAAUAGAUGUUUGCAGUUUCCAGAAUGGAAAGAAAUUGCAGCGAAAAUUAUUUUCACUUCUACGUGAAAAUCUAGCCAGAAAAGUAAGUGUGAGCCACAAGACAUGUAUUUAUUAUGAAACAUAUGUUGCUUGUUGUGUUUCUCAUUCGCCCCAGAUGGCGAAAAACUGUAUACUAUUAGAUAAAAACGAGUCCAAUGAGGGCAAGCAUGACAUACACGUGGUCAAAACAAAACAAGACCGCAACAAAUAGCUGAAAUUUAAGUUAUCUUUCGAGUCUCGUCAAUAAAUGAACAAGAUAUCGAAUGAAACAAGUUCCCAGCAUUAUACCAAGGGCCCAUUCUCAUCGUUUACCCCGAAAUUCGUUUCUAAUUUUCGUUUCGCAGGUGUCCUGCCUACCUCAGUACCUGUCAUUAAUUUCCUGGUUGGGUACAUAUUGCUCUAAUCCAAAUAAUAAUGAUAUCGUGGAGCUAUUAAUUUGGAGCACAGGGGUGCAUACAUACUUGCUCAAAAGGAACCUGAAACACGUAAUCUGGAGCUUAACAUAUGUUGUACCCCUCCCCUAGUCCAAAUAAUUAUGAGGGGGGAUAGGACCUUUAUCAGGACUCUGGGACCGGGUGUUUUUAGAUUGGGAUUUGGGGAUUGACCCUUUCAGGAUCCGGGAAUUCUUUUUUCGAAUUUCCGGACCUCCAGAUUUUGUAUUUUUAAGCCAGGGAUUUCGUGUUUUUAAGCUAUACAUGUAUGUAUCCCGUUAAACAGAAGGGAUGCUAUUGUUUCAGAAAAAGGGAGAAGGUUUGGAUCCAUUAAAACGUUUAAUCCCGCUGCAAAUGUUUGCACCUGUCCUAAGUCAGGAAUCUGAUGUACAGUAGUUGUCGUUUGUUUAUGUAAUAUAUACGUGUUUCUCGUUUUGUUUAUAUAGAUUAGACCGUUGGUUUUCCCGUUUGAAUGGUUUUACACUAGUAAUUUUGGGGCCCUUUAUAGCUUGUUGUUCGGUGUGAGCCAAGGCUCUGUGUUGAAGGCUGUACUUUAAAAGAGGGACGAAAGAUACCAAAGGGACAGUCAAACUCGUAAAUCUAAAACAAACUGACAACGCCAUGGCUAAAAAUGAAAAAGACAAACAGAAAAACAAUAGUACACAUGACACAACAUAGAAAACUAAAGAAUAAACAACACGAACCCCACCAAAAACUAGGGGUGAUCUCAGGUGCUCCGGAAGGGUAAGCAGAUCCUGCUCCACAUGCGGCACCCGUCGUGUUGCUUAUGUGAUUACAAAUCCAGUAAAUAGUCUAAUUCGGUAGGUCAAAUUCAUGAAAGAGAAGGGGAUUGUAGUUACGACGUAAGGAACAUAUCCGAUAUCAUUUGUGAAACGGUUAUUCCAUAACGGUCAACCAACUCGUGAUGGCGUCCGUAAAAUUUACGAAGGGAUGAUUUCAACUUCACCAUUAUAAUGGUUUACUUUUUAAAUUGUUAUUUGGAUGGAGAGUUGUCUCAUUGGCACUCACACCACAUCUUCCUAUAUCAAGUUAUAAAAUUUUCUUGGGGAGCCUGCUUGCAAGAAAGUUGUUUAAAUUCUAAACAGAGAAAGACAUUUCUUUGUAGGAACCUGUAGAUUAAGGGCGUCUCAUAUUCUUAUUGCUCUGAAAGUAAGUCUACCAUAAGCCGCUGAGACAAAAUAAAAUACAACACGAAAGUGUUCAUUUGUAACAGUUAUACAAACCAGGCAUCAGGAACACAGAUACCCCCCCCCUUUUUUUUGUCCAGGUUUAGGAACCCCCCUUUUUAAAAUAACUGGAUCUGCCCCUGCCCAUUGGUGACAUUUUCCAUUUCCAUUCUCACAUUUCUAUUACAUAUAAUUUAUAUCUUGUUUUUGAGUACUACAUGUAUAGGGACAUUAUUCGUAAUAAAGGGUCGAAAUUAUCGCGUUUUUCAAAUAAUGACUUUAAAACCGUUUGAACAAAUUUUCAUGAAAAUUUGCUGAAAUGAUCCCUUAUGAUUUUUUAUACAAUGAAUAUUUUUAGAUUUUACUCAUUCUCUUUAUGGGAUUUUAAUAUUAUUCAAAAAAUAAUCCAUGAACUGUGCCACUGUUGGCAAUUUUUUUUAUAUUUGUACAUGUACCCCGGCACCACUUUUAGUAUUUAAAAAAGUUGGGGCAUACUGUUUUACUACUGUCUGUACAUCCUUAGGUCAGUCCGUCCCAUGAAUAUUUUUCAUAGCACUGUUUGCAGGAAUGUUACAAGGAUUUCUGAAAUUUGGCUUCAGAGUUUAUACAUGCAUGUCAGAGUCAGUUGAACUGUGUCAUGCUUUUUCAGAUUCAUUACUCAACAACUUUCUGUUAACCUUAUACUUUAAGGGUAUGGGAAUAUUAUUAGUGAGCAGUAGCUCACAGAGAUUCAGGUGUUUGUUUUAGAUUUUAUAUUUUGGAGGGGCUGGCUAUUACGGGCAGUGAUUUCAGUAUUUCUAGUUAAUCAUGAAAAUUGAUUUAAGACAUGUAUAAAGAAGAGCUAAAAUGACCACACUUGUAUAUAUGGCCAUGUCAGUCUGUCUGUUUAAGGUUACAAUCUUACAUGUAUAUCAUCAAUAUAUAUAGGGUAGGUAGGUCAGUAUUUCACUUUUACUAUUUUUUUUCUUUUCCUUUUUUUGUGCAUGAUUUUGAGUUGUGCCAUGGUCUCAGUUGUCCAUGGGCCGAGUUUACCCAUAUUUUUAAUGAUUGGAUUAUUUCCCUUGGUUAUUGGUUGGAAAAAUGGGGGUGAAGUUUUUAUUUUAUGACACGAGUUGCAAGUUUCCUUAGAACAGCUGUCAUAUUCACGAUUGUGAACAUUGGGAUGUAUCAGGCAAUUGAUUAAAUUUAUUGGCAACCCUUACUUCGCUUUUGACACGAGUUUUAUAAAUUUUUCACUUAAUGACAGGAAUAAAAUAGCUUUGAGUCAGCGCUCAAAUUAGGGUCAGUCGAGUAACUGUAAACAGACAUAUAUACCAUGUAUACAUGUACAUGUAUUUUUUUUUUGCCAAUUAUCACUGUGUAUCAUCGUACAGUUGAUAUAGUUACUAACCAAGCGUGGCAUGAUCGUUUUUGAAACUGACAUGGUAACGAAAUCUUUGUUUUGUUUUAUCAACAUUCAGUGUACAGUUUUCAACAUCUGAAACCCCCCCUUUUUUUUGGACAAUCAAUGCAUUUGAAUGGGGACAUGUAGUUGGACCCCCCCCCCCUUUUGUCCUGGGUUAGGAACCCCCCUUUUUAAAAUGGCUGGAUCCACCCCUGGUAAGUAACUAUAUCCGCUGUACUGGUGAUACAAGGUGUUCAUGGCAGAUCUCUAUUUUGUAUAAUUCUAGAAAUCCAAGAAAAAAUGGGCAUUAUACAUGUAUCUAUGAAGGAAAUCCUGCGAUCUAAUAAGGGUUGUGUGCACGUGGCAGACGUUAUUUUUUUAUUUAACAGUUAUUUGAAUCAUUAUACACAUGUUUAUGUUCCUAAUAUUUAAAAAAGUAUCUGUUUGUAAUUAAAUGAUUACCUUUUCUUUCAGCUUACCUGUUAAUUACAAGAUACACUAGUAUGCCAUUCCAGGUUUGAUGAAAUAUAAAGUGAUGGUUUGAAAUUGGAGAGUUUUAUUUUUAUACACAGGUAAAUUGUUUUAUCCUGCAAUCAGCUAACUUUUGUACAAUGAGACAACUCUCCUCAAGUGUCCAAAUGACACCAAAAUUAACAACUAUAGUUAUAGGUCACUGUAUGGCCUUCAACAAUGAGCAAAGCCCAUUCUGCAUAUUCAGCUACAAAAGGCCCCUAAAUUGCAAAUGUAUUUUUUAGCAAUUCAAAGGAGAAAACUAACAGUCUAAUAUGUAAACACAGCAACAUAGACAACCACUGAAUAACAGGCACAUGCAUACAGAAUGUGGAGGGGUUAAUAGUCUAUAGAUAUAGGAAGAUGUGGUGUGAGUGCCAAUGAGACAACUCUCCAUCCAAAUAACAAUUUAUAAAAGUUAACCAUUAUAUGUCAACGUACGGCCUUCAACAAGGAACCUUGGCUCACACCGAACUUAAAGCUAUAAAGGGCCCCAGAAUUACUAGUGUAAAACCAUUCUUACGGUAAAACCAAGUCCAACAGUCUAAUCUAUAUAAAAAAAACCAAGAAACACAUAUAAAUUACAUAAACAAAAGACAACUACUGUAUAUGCUAGUGAGUGUUUUUUAAUUUGUGCAAAUAAAUUUCUGUUUUCUUACAUUGUAAGAAUAUUAAUGUACAUGUAUGAUGUAUAUUCAGAAGUUAUUGUAAUGUUUUAUAUAGCAAAUUUGCAUUUUGAAUAUUGCAAUAAUGGAACUCACAUUCUGAUCUCAAUAAAUAUAACUCAUUUUAUUUUAAAGUUUUAUCAAAGUAGUGCACCUUAUUAAAAUGUGUGUGAAAAAUUACAUCCUUGUUCAAAUGUUUAAUGAAAUUUCUCGCUACAUUGAAGACCCAUUGGUGGCCUUCGGCUGUUGUCUGCUCUAUUGUCGGGUUGUUGUUGUUUUAACACAUCCCCAUUUCCUUUCUCAAUUUUAUUAUUCAUGUUAUUAAAUAAAGACCAGGGAAUUAUGUUGUUUGCAUUUUAACAGUAACUUCUUGAAGAAAUAUGUUUGCACUUACUUUUUAAUACUUUAAUCAUAAAUAUCAUGUUAAACAUUUCAUUUAAAUAUAUAUACAUGUACAUUAUAUUUGCAUUUUCAUAUUUCAGCAAUGAUGAUCACCUGUACCGAGACAGCAGAAGAAAGUUACUUAUUUAUAACUCAUCAUGACCAUUUAAUACCGAAAAUCUGAUUAAAAUUUGUUUGGAAAGCCACCAAAUAUUUCAAUGAAAAGAAGAAAAAAGACAGCAAUUCUAUAUCAUGUAUAUCAUGUACUAAGCAGAAGCAUUUGCUGUUUCAAGACCCAGUUGAAUUGGAGUUUAGUGUUUUGAUGCAGUGAGACAGAGGAAUAUUUAAGUGAACAGUUUAGCUUCUUUUUCAUCAUCGUGAUCAUUAAAGUUGAUGUUUACCAUCGGAGAGAGCUUUUUCCUCAGUUGAAAUGAAUUCUAAAUACAGGCAGUUUGGAGACUUUGUAUAUUUCUUACAAUUGGAGUUCUAAAAAGGAUUACAUUUAAAAAAAAAAUGUGUUGCAACAGUUUCAUGGAUUUAAUUUGUGGUCUCUUUCGUGAAAUAUUUGAAAAAUGCAAUAUCUAACCAAGUAGUUUAUUAGAGAUCUACAGAUGAACAUAUGACAUGUAUGACAUUCAGAUGAAUUUGAAAGAAGGAAAUAUAUUUAUUUUAUAAGACUUUAAUAUGAGUGUUUAGUUAUUUUUUGGCAAUUACAGGCAUGACAGGGAGUAAUUAUAAGAUAAAGUUAUUUGAUUUAAACAUAAAUCCUACCUACAGAUAUACAUGCGAUAUACAUAUAUGCAUGUAGGCAUACAAUUCACUGACACACCACUAAUUUGAGUUACAUGUACAUGUAAUGAUAAAAGUAAGAAUAUGACAUAUAAAAAAAAAAUUGAUUCACUCAGAUUGCCAAUGAAACAACUCUCCAUCAGGGAAAAAAUAGUUGUUUAUAUACAUGUAUUGGCCACCUGCAGAUCGAGACAUGAGAGAACAAGAAAAUCAUAUUUUAUCAUGAUUUAUAAUUUUUCUAUUUCAUUUCAUAUAAACACUGAAUACAGGCCUACAUUUGUAGGUGUACAAAAAGUUCAAAAGCAUAAAACAGUGUUGUAAUCAUGCAGUUGUUGUUCAUCUGAAAGUCGUAUGAUAUUGAUGUUGGGCUUCAAUAAUGAGCAAAACAUCUGUAUAACAGCCA
rnacentral:lncRNA from 1 species